UUGAGUCUCAGCCACCAUACUAUGAAGAAGCCAUUUACUACAUAGAAAGACAUGUGGGCUAUUCGGUAACCUCGGCUGAUAAAUAGUUUUCAGGCAUAUCUUAAAUGAAUACCUACUAUGUGAAUACAGUGGGAAUAUCAAAAUGAUCUAUCCAUGAUCUGUGAUUUCAAACUGAUGACUUUGAAGAUCAAUCUUACAGUAAAUUAAGUGUUAUACUAACAGGUGUCAGUGAAGUACUAUGACACAUGUAGUACAAACUGGCUAAUUUUACCAGAUGCUAGAAGAAGAGAAAGAAACAAAGAAUCAGAGAAGAGCCAAAUGGCGAAUAAGCUAGAAGAUCAGAAGGUCCCUGAGGAAGGAGCAGGCACUGGCACAUGCAAGUCAACUUCCAGAAUGCACAUUAUCGUUCCUCACAUCCACCACACAGAUCCAAAGAGGUCUUCAUGCAGUGGUGGAACUUUUAAGUCAUGGAGCACUGAGAAGUAUAGGGAAGACAAUAUAGCAUCCUGAAUAGGCUUGGCCUAUGGAGGAGCAGAAGAAUUCCAUUCUCUAUGUCUCAUCUAGUUAUCUGACUGAUAAUGGCUUUUCUUCAGAUUGAGACGUAUCUGUGGGUGGCAACAGCGCUAAAUAGGAGGUUGAUAUGAGGACCUAAAAGACUUGAAGAGACUCUGCUUUGUUUUGAAUCAUUCAUAUGUGGUGCCACACUAUUCAGAAAUUAAUGUUAUUCCAUAAAUGAAUAAUGAUUUAAAUGUACUCAGUAAUUGUAAAUGCACAAGCA